rnacentral:rRNA from 1 species
UACGUAGGGUGCAAGCGUUGUCCGGAAUUAUUGGGCGUAGAGAGCUCGUAGGCGGUUUGUCGCGUCUGCUGUGAAAACCCGAGGCUCAACCUCGGGCCUGCAGUGGGUACGGGCAGACUAGAGUGCGGUAGGGGAGAUUGGAAUUCCUGGUGUAGCGGUGGAAUGCGCAGAUAUCAGGAGGAACACCAAUGGCGAAGGCAGAUCUCUGGGCCGUAACUGACGCUGAGGAGCGAAAGCAUGGGGAGCGAACAGG